rnacentral:precursor_RNA from 9 species
AGUUGAGAUGAGACAAGUGUGUUGUGUGGCUGGUCAAAGUGGUUGUGACAGGGUGUGCUAGCUUUCCUAUCACAGCCUGCUUUGAUGAGCUAUACACAACACCAGACGACUGCCACUGGC